CAGAGACGGAACUUUCCGUCGUGUUCAGAACCGCUUUAAAAUAACGCACGCCCAUGAGUUUAAUCCUGGAGUCGGAAGAUGAGUCAGAAGUGUGUGUGUGAGACGGCGAGUUCGAUUUCAUGCUGAAGUUCCAUUCGAUCAGGGAUUAAUGAGACGAUGUUGACUGUGAGCGAGGCUGCGUUCAGACGCUCGGUAUCGUGGAAUAACCCGGGCUCAUUUCUGCCACUACAUCAUUUAACACAUGGGUUCAAAUAUAGAACUGUAACGAUACGAUCGAAUCCAACGUCAUCAUCAUUCACUCAUUACCACCAUCACUACCACCAUCAUUACCACCAUCACUACCACCAUCAUUACCACCAUCACUACCACCAUCACCCACACCAUCAUUAACACCAUCACUACCACCAUCAUUACCACCAUCACUACCACCAUCACUACCACCAUCACUACCACCAUCACUACCACCAUCACCCACACCAUCAUUAACACCAUCACUACCACCAUCAUUACCACCAUCACUACCACCAUCAUUACCACCAUCACCCACACCAUCAUUAACACCAUCACUACCACCAUCAUUACCACCAUCACUACCACCAUCAUUACCACCAUCAUUUACACCAUCACUACCACCAUCACUACCACCAUCAUUACCACCAUCACUACCACCAUCACUACCACCAUCAUUAACCACCAUCACCCACACCAUCAUUACCACCAUCAUUUACACCAUCACUACCACCAUCACUACCACCAUCAUUACCACCAUCACUACCACCAUCAUUACCACCAUCAUUUACACCAUCACUCACUCAUUAACACCAUCACUACCACCAUCAUUUACACCAUCACUCACUCAUUAACACCAUCACUACCACCAUCAUUAAUACAUCACCCACACCAUCACUCACUCAUUAACACCAUCACUACCCACCAUCAUUAACCCCAUCA
ensembl:lncRNA